GGCCAGGUAGCUCAGUUGGUAGAGCAGCGGACUGAAAAUCCGCGUGUCGGCGGUUCAACUCCGUCCCUGGCCA
rnacentral:tRNA from 1 species